UACGUAGGGGGCAAGCGUUGUCCGGAUUCAUUGGGCGUAAAGAGCUCGUAGGCGGCUUAGCAAGUCGGGUGUGAAAACUCCAGGCUCAACCUGGAGACGCCACCCGAUACUGCUAUGGCUAGAGUCCGGUAGGGGACCACGGAAUUCCUGGUGUAGCGGUGAAAUGCGCAGAUAUCAGGAGGAACACCGAUGGCGAAGGCAGGUCUCUGGGCCGAUACUGACGCUGAGGAGCGAAAGCGUGGGGAGCGAACAGG
rnacentral:rRNA from 1 species